UCCGACGAGACGCGACUAGCCUCCAAAACGUGUAACGAAACGCCGCGCAGCGGACAUUUUGUCUCGCAUACCAGCGCCAACGCGCCACUCUUUCGUCUCCUUCCCCGUUGUGUUGAUUCCUCUCUUUGUACUUCGAACAGUUCAACGCGCUAUUUAUAGUUUUUCAGCGAGAUACUUCUCGUUCUUUCUCUCAACAGGCGCCCCAUAGUUGACCGUUGGCGGCGACGCUGCCCCGGCUCGUAACCUCACUUUUUUCCCGAAAGCAUCACCGGCCUCCUGCUCAACGAAAGUGUCUUUAUUUUUCCUCUUCUAUAUCAACACACAAAAACUCCGGGAGAAUCUGAAAUUUCAUGAAACUCCUAACAAAAAUGUCGAGUUCAAACCACACUUUCGCGCAGCUUCAAUUUCAAGCCUGCAAAGUUAGCAUCCCAUAAUUCGGGAGCAUUUGCUACAGCCCACGCGACACGCGACACGGCUCUGCAGUCGCUCGCUCGUCGUUCGUAUUAAUAGCUCCGUCGAAUUGUCUACCAAAAACGGUAUCUUUAAAAAUGGGACGCUAUUUUGAAAACCGUUCGUUAAAUAUUUUCGUUUCCGAACAUCGUCGCACGGACAUUUAGCUUUGAUAGCACCAAGCGGUCUCGGACUCGAACUCGGACGUAUUUUUGGGCUUGGGACCACCUCCGCAAGGGUUAUUCAUCCCCAACCGAGUCUUUUCGAUAUUAUCGAAAAGUGUCGAGAAUCUCGUGUAAAGCUCGCUUUCUGCUCGUCGAGCGAAAAAUCAUCCGGCAGCUCUCACAAGUGGGUUGUAAAAAAAGAAAAUGAAAAGAAGAUCGACAAACGUCAAACGCUUCGGCAAGAUUGAUUUUUUUAUCAUUUUGUCGCUUUUUCAUACAAUAUAGUUACAAAUUCGCGUCGCGAUAGGUUUACCGCAUUCCUAUAAUCCUCAAACUCUCCAUUACACUUGUUCGUCUUAAUUCAAAAGUCAUAAGUCUUAAAAUCUAUUGCCUCGCACCUGCGGCCAAAUAAGAUUACACUUUCGGCUAUUUAUUAUGAUUAUUACUAUCAUCAUCAUCAUCCGCAUAAAUAAUAUUACGGUUCUUCCCCAUAUGGAGAAUGAAAAUGGAAAAGUCUCCUCUUCGGCCGCCGCAUGUCGAGAUGAAGAAUUUUCUUCGUAAAUUUGCACCACCUUUCCCCGCGAGCGGUUGGCCGAUCUCUCAAUUUUAUUAUUAUUACUAUUUCCCGUUUAUCAGUUACGUAUAACUGAUAAACGAUAGCUGUAGCGGUAUAUUAAAAUAAUAUAUUAUACACGAUGAUGAUUCGACAAUAAUUAUACAAGAUCGUUUUUAAAUAUUGUUGUUGGUUUUUUAUUUUCUUUCGCGGAAAAAUGCCUACUCCAAUAAAAUGUAUUUUGUUGAUGAUUCUCAUUUUUCUGGUUCUCGCUCUGCUCUCGUGCACUUUUCUUUCCCUCCCGCACGUUGCGUUCACAUAGUUGACAGACGCGCGUAAUCUGCUGCGAGUAAUCGCCAUUUCUUUAUCAUAUUUUUAUUGUUUUCUCGAUUUUUUUUCGUUGAGCCCUCCGUAAGAGCAGUAAAGUUGUGCUUAUUCGUAUUUCAUACGUCGUAAUGCAUUUCGUGGAUAUUUUCAGCUUGCCUUAUUGACUUUGAAAGACUCGCUCCCACGAAGAUCGAUGGAAGUUUUGGGUGGCGGAAAUGCGAGUGGAACGAUCAGGAAGUGACGAUUUGAUUCUCUUUUGUUCAUCCUCGUUUGCGCAGCUACAAUUCUUCGCGGUUUCUGCGUCGCGGUGUACGCGUCCUCUCAUUCGGCGGGGACGUGCGCGCGUGCGCUGCACCGAUCAUACUAAUUGGGAUUUUGAAAUUCCUGCUUUAUCGCAUUUUUAUAUUUGGCAGGUGAAAUCCUCUGGCUUUCUUAUUGCACGAGUGCUCGUCGCGGACGAAGAACGUACGAGCGGUUGGUCACGAGCACAAACGCCAGGAUUACUUUCCCUCUAGAGAUCAUUCACGAUGCACGAAAGAUCGCAGCUAGCCGAAUUUUUGUCAAACUUUCUAUUGGCGAGGAAACAACGAGAGCGAAAGAAUGAUCGUAUGUCGCAGCGUAUUCGUAUUGAACUAAUCUAUUUUUAGGCGUUUUAUUGAAAAAAUGAUGAAAAGUAAUUUCUUUCUUUCAAAUAAUUCGUUCAUUAUUUGUGCCAGACGUGAAUGUUGCAGAAAAUUCAUUUGUGACAUCAUCGGACGAGCUUUUCACCGAAUACAAGGGACCAUUAAAAUUUGAAGAGCGGAGGAGAAAUCAUUGGAAUGACAGGCGAGAUAUGGGGCAUCACAAAAUUUAACUCCCUCACAAUUCGGAAAACUUGACGCCGUCUACAAUUCGUUUCCCGACCUUCGACGUUCGCAUACGUACAUCAGCGAGCCUCCAGUUUCCUCUCGCUUUUGGAAAAAAGGAAUGCACACGACGGUGAACCUCGUCCGGAUGACCCGAGGCACCCUCUGUGCCCUUUAUUUUUAUUCGACUCAAUCAUUGCCGAGUCUCUGUUCCAUAUCAUCGAAUCGAAAUAGUAUUUUCAUUCGUUACACGUGAGAAUCGUUGAUGCGCGUAUUCCAUUUGUCACUUCGAGCCUGAAAUAAUUGGUCGCGGCUGUGCCUCUUCUUUACGACCCUCCCGGACAGGUUUCUGCUGUCAAGACGUUGCAAACGAUAGAAAAUGCACCGGAUUUGUCCGUCUUUUUAUGUACAUGUGCAUGCAUUUCGGUUUCGCAGUUUUAGUUUCGUCGCUUCGCUCUUUACCGAGCUUCGAUAAUUCAAGUCGGUGCUUCGCUCUGGCUCGCAUUUGCGAUUUUUCCUCCGACGACUUAGCCUCGAAUCAUCCUAACGAAGCAACCACGAUUUCUCCGAUGCUCCAAAAAUCGUUCAAGACGAACGGUCCCCGUUUCACGGCUCUUCGUCCUUACCAACAGAACACCGAGAGCUCGUUCCCGUGCUCGCCACCGUGCCUCCAAGUCUUCACUGCUCGUGCCUUCAACUGCAAUUAGAAGAACGAAUAUAAUAUAAGAACCAAGUAACGAUAUUCCACUUUUAUUUAUUUAAUUUUUCUCUCGGGAAUCAAUGUGAUUAGUGAGUCGAUUCAAACUCAAUAAACUAUUGAAUAAUAUCCAUCAAUUAAUAAGCACGAUUGUUAAAUACUUUCGUUGCUUUGAAUGAAACGAUCUCCAAUUUUGCACACGUGUUCUUUAGAGUUCAAACUGCGGAAUAGCAUUUUUUUUCUAAUUUAUCACCAAUAUAUGCGUAGGUGCCAAAUAUUCCAAGUUUGGAAAUUAUUUACUAAAAAAUGGCUAAACGAAAUGGAUUCGAAAUUGGAGAGGCUACGGAAAAUAUUUCCAAAAAUGUAUUCUAAAAGCUUCAUUAAGCUAUCAUUAUUUUUCUCAAGCUGAUGUUCCUCCUUAAUUAAAAUUGGAUACGUGAAGGAGACUCGGGCAAAAAAUAUCCGAUAAUUUUUAUAAUAACCAUUCGAAAACGGCUAUUUUUUCUAAAAUACUCGUUUUUCUUUGUGAAAGUUUUCUGGAACAAUUUUGAAACUAUUUUUUUUUAAAUGUCCUUUCCGAUGUAGCGUUCUGCCUGAAAUUUGUAAAUUAAUCGGAAAGGUACGCCACAUUGAAAUACAAUGAAAACCCUAAGAAAAACACUAAGAAUCAAUGAA
rnacentral:lncRNA from 1 species